GUGGUUCCCCAGAAGGUCAGCGUGGUAAGGUUUGCAUGGAUCAAGAGAUCAUAAUGAACUGGGAUGACGUACUCAGGAAGUCGUAUUUUAUUCCAAGGAAAUGGUGUCCCAUCACUACGUUUUGGAGAUGCUUCAGUGCUCUGACACCAUGAAGGAGUGGACACAGUUAAGAGAGCCAACAGUGAGGAAAGUAGAAAUGACAUGGUUGCAAGGGACCAUUUGAGGGGCAGAAACACCAUCUUCUUGCUCUACCUACCUAGCGGCACAAAUGUACAAAAGCAAAAAUAUAUGUCAUUAAAAUGUUAUUGACACAGCAUAAUUUCAGAAUGUAUCCACCCAGCAUUCACAGAAAUAGGCAUAAACUUCCAAAAGUACUAGGUCUUUUCCUGAAAGUAAAAGGACCUUCCCUAUGUUAUGGUUUCAUAUAAGAAAGAUGUUUACAGUUAGCAACAAUCAUUAACACGUACUAGAAAGCAUCAUUUGAUGUUCAAAGUUUAAAUUAACUCUACCUGUCAGGGUUCUUGGUUGAAAGCAACCGAACAAGCUCUGGCUGAUAUAGGCAGAAAAGGAAUCAUUAGGGGAUCCUGAGUGGCUCACUACACGGGUCACAGAGUUGCAGGACAUUUGGGAAACCAGGCUCAUGAAAGAAGCAAAACCAGAACCAUAUCAGAGGAACAUCUGAUCAAGCACCACUCCCCACUGACACUGGACCUUGGAGAAAGUCACCCUAGUACCCUGGAAAUCAAAUGCUGACACAGUGGCAGCCACCACUAGAACGAGGUCUCCACUUCCCCUCUCAAGGGAAUUCCCUUCUCCUCACCUCUGGAGCAAUCUGGAGGCUAAACAGAAAGGAUACCUACACAUUAGAGAGAGUCUUGGAAAUCUCAUAAUCCCAGUUCAAAAGGCACCACCCAGCAACAGCUUAAUGAGCAUCGCCCCUGCCCCAAGACGGGAUCCAGAGGACUCUGUGAAGGUGGCAGGUUCAAGCAUGUAAGGACUCUGAAAGUCCCCGAGACCUCUCCAACAGCCCCAGAGAAGAUCUAGAAAUUCCAACUCGUUAUGAGCUGACAGAAAGGCUGAUGUGCUGCGGAAGGGGUUGGUACCGGGACCUUGGAUCAGAGGCUUUGCAGGGUUGGGUCCAUGAGGGGUCCAAAGAGAAACAGUUAUGUCUCAACGAGGAUGCAGUGCAUGAGUGGGGCUUGGUAAAAACUCCAUGUAG
ensembl:lncRNA novel transcript, antisense to ERAP1